GCCCGAGUUCCAAGUCCUUGGAGGAAGUAAACGCGAAACUAAACAAACGCUCGGAGCGUUCGAGUAGAAAAGUCUUGGUUCGAGUGCAGAACUACAUUUCCCAGCGGGCAUCGGGACCAGGGGACGUCCUGGGCCUCUGGAGUUGCCACCUUCGUGGGCGCGAGUAAGCUUUUCAAAAUGUCCAACAAAGAAUCUUGUGGAAAAAAAGAGAAGUCUCGGAGAAAAGGCAGCACCGCAUCACCCAACUUUGACCUAGAAGAUAAGAAAGAGAAAAAAGCUUCAAGUUCUCCUAGUUCAGCUUGCUGUGUAAGGUCUGUUUCAUCAGAGAAGAGAAAACUGAAAUCGGAUCAUACAGACAUUCUGUACUGUGAUAUAAAAAGAAGACAAGAAGUGAAAAGAUUGAAUGUAGAAACCGACACUCCAGGAAGGAGACCAAAAAUCAGUUCUUUAUCCCCUCAAGGGCCUGUUAAACUCCAGGAAGCAUCAUAUUCCGAUGCUAAUCAAAUUAUCUCACAGAGCCCUUCUUCACAUGGGACUAAAAAAGAUUUAACUAAAUAUGACAAUUUUAAAGAUAUUAAAUUGACAAAUGUUAGGAGCAAGGCUGACCAUGGAAUUAAAAACUUUUGCGGUCCUAAGAUUGCCAAAGAUGUGAAACCAAAAACAGAAGGCCAAACAAGUGAAAAACAAUGGCCUCAUUUACUCACUCAGGGGGAGAAGUUGAAAGAACUCAAGAAAGAAAGGUACAAGAAAUUUAGAGACAGUUCUGAAACAUGUGUUUUGGGGAAACGCAAGAGAAUCCAUUUUCCUCAGGAUUGUAAUUCCAACAAGAUAAUCAAGGAAUCCCUUGAAUCUAGAAGAAGGAAGACCAGUUUCAAAAUCCCAAUAAAAUCCCGUGAUACUCUCCAGAAGCUUGUAGAAGAGAAUGUCUUCAAUUUAGAGUCUAACAAUUCAAAGACUAAGCAGGAGAAGAAAGAAAGACUGAAAGGUUCCCAAGCUUCAUUAAAUUUGACUAGGCACAAAAGUGAACGUUUAUUUUCAGAAUCCACGUGUAAACAGGCUGUACAUGAGUGGAAAGGAAAAUAUCAUCAUGAGCAUCGAGAAAGUAAUGAUUCAGGUUCUGGUGAAAACCCAAUCCAGAGUUUUGAACCUCCAUGUUCUUCAGUGUCCCUUGAAAGUAUUCAAGAUACAGAUCAAGAGAUGCAGAUAGUGGAAGAGCUCCAUGCUGUACGUGUGGGGAAAAGUGUGGAUUUACCUGUGGUUUUAUCUUCCGGGGAGUUAACGAGCAUGGAGAUUGACUUGGUGGACGAUGAUGUACAUUCCUCUCCUGCAAAAAGUGCUUCAGAUAAAAAGCUUCUAAUUGUUAUUGACACAAAUGUUCUGAUGAAUCAUCUCAAAUUUGUUAGAAUUUUGAAGACCACAGAAAUCCCAGGCUUUGAUAGACUUGUGUUAAUAAUUCCCUGGGUUGUUGUACAAGAGCUAGAUCGUAUGAAGGCAGGAAAACUACUAAAACACGCCCAGCACAAAGCUAUACCUGCAGUUCAUUUUAUCAAUGACAGUCUCAAAAAUCAAGAUAAAAAGCUAUGGGGUCAAUCAAUACAACUCGCAUCUCAAAAAGUUUAUGGGCUGAGUGAUGAGAACAACGAUGAUCGAGUAUUAAAAUGCUGUCUUCAGUACCAGGAAUUAUUCCCUUCUUCUGUUGUUAUUCUGUGCACGGAUGAUAGAAAUUUAAGAAACAAAGGCCUAAUAAGUGGUGUGAGGUCACUCAGUAAAGAAGAAUUGAGUGCAGAUUUAUUAAACUUAUCUCCGAACACAGAUGUAUGUCAUCAACCUUGUUUAUCUAAACAACAAUUGAAAGCAGAAGCAACACCAUUAGAAGAGAGCUAUAAGGGAGAAUCUGUACAUUCCAGACUACCCAUUCUACUUGAAAGCAUCAUAUCUGAUCUUGAAAAAUCUCUUGGAACAGCUUUAUCUUCAAUACUAGAAACAGAAAUGAAAAUUGCUUUUGGAAACCUCUGGAUGGAGAUGCUGUACUUGAAACCACCAUGGACUCUAAUUCAUUUAUUACAGUGCUUUAGAAAACAUUGGUUGGCUGUAUUUGGAUUAGUUAUGGAGAAGAACGUGCUUUUAACCAUUGAGAGCCUAUAUGAAAAUCUCUGUAAAGCUAACAAGGCAGUGGAUUUUACAACAGUGAAAUUUCUGCUUCAGGAUUCUAAAAGUUUGUUACAUGCUUUCAGUACAAGGUCAAAUUAUGAUGGUAUUCUUCCACAGGCCUUUGCUCAAGUUGACAAACUGCUCCAGACAUUUGCAGAGGUCAAGGCAAAACUUAAGCAAAAUCCUUCAGAAACUACAGUGGGUAAAAAGCAAGAAGAUACCUCUUUAAUGAAAUCUAAUAACCAAGAAGUCACCAUUUUCUCAGGUUCUCAUCUUCCCCAGCCCAACAGGCAUCAAAAAAUCUGGUCUACCCUAGAGAAUGUUUGGACAACAUUAUAUCAGAACAGCAUGGAUGUAUUUCAAAGAUUGGGCUCAAAUGCAGCUUUGACUUCUUCAAAAAUAGCAUCAUUUGAGGAAGCAUUUGUAUAUCUUCAAAAGUUAAUGGCAGCUGUGAAGGAUAUUCUUGAAGGAAUUCAGAGGAUUUUGGCCCCUAACAGUAAUUUUCAAGAUGUUGAGACCCUCUAUAACUUCCUAGUCAAGUAUGAGGUAAAUAAAAAUGUCCAAUUCACUGCCCAGGAACUUUAUGAUUGUGUCUCACAGACUGAGUAUCGGGAAAAGUUAACCAUUGGAUGCCGCCAGCUGGUCGAGAUGGAAAAUUCCAUGCAGCAGUGCAAUGCAUCUGUCUAUAUGGAGGCCAAAAACAGGGGAUGGUGUGAGGACAUGCUUAACUAUAGGACCUAAAUCCUGAUUUAUAACUUAAAAGGAAUGGCAUUUGUCUUCAGGAACAAUAGAGUGGCUAUCAACCUUUUGAGUCAAACCCAAGUCUUGUAAAAAAAAAAAAAAAAAAAAAAAUGUCUCAUAGGUGCAAGAAGGUAGUAUUCCAUUGUAUGGAUGCACCAAUUUAUACAUUCACCAGUUGGAAGGCUAUGUUGACUUAUUUUUGGUGACUGAAUAAAAGCAGCUACAUUCACAUACAGGUUUGUGUGAACAUUUUCAUUUCAUUUGAAUCAAUUCCUAGGAAAGGUGAUUACUGUAUCACAGGGCAUUUAAUUUUGUCAGAAACUGUCAAACUUUUCCAAAGUGACCUUACCAUUUUGUUAAUUCCUCCAGCAGUCUCUCGGCAUCCUAACCAGAACUUGGUAUUUUUAAUAGGUAUGUCAUUUUGCUUUUUACAUUUUCCUACUGAUUUAUGAUAACAUCUUUUCAUGUUUGUUUUGAAAUCCAUUUAUUUUCUUUGGUGAAGUGUCAUGUUCAAAUCUUUUGCCAAUUUUUUUUUUUUUUAAAGUUUUGAGUUCUGGGCACCACUUAUCAGGCACAUUCUUUCAAGCCUGUACCUUUAAAGACUUGGUACCAUUUUUGCUUAAGAUAGAGACAGCACUUGCUUAUUUAUUGCAGGAGGUAGAUAUUACUUUGAUUUGGGAGUAACCUUACUAGAUACUUGGCCCUGCUAAUUACUGGACUAGUUGCAUUUGGUAGAUGCCUUUCAACAUUUUAAUACAGCCACUCUCACUCUGAACUUGCUGUAGGUCAGUUCAUCUCUGGAUCAUUCCCUCAUUUCUUUCAUUCAUCCCAGCUUGGUAUUGUGUGUGCCUUUUCUCCAGGCUAAAAUUUCUUCCUUUGCUCACUGUGAGCAAAUGUGUAGCCAUGUACCCAGACAUAGGUCCUUCUUAGAUUUCCACAUGAUUAUCAACCCUGUACACACUGAGGUUUUUGCUUUUCUCUCAGUCAACCCCCAGUGAGGCAUGGAGCUAUUAAUAGUGAAGUUUAAAUAUUUUGUGGCCACUAUUGCUGGUACUUGUUGCUAAGCAUCAUUUUACAACUGAGAAUGUUCUGGUUUUAUUAUGAAAGAAACUGGUUCUUCAUAGUAAUUACUUUUUAACCUACAGAGGAUUCAACUUUUUUUCCUUGAUUUAAAAAAAAAGUGAAUUUGACAUUGUGUAAGGUGUACAACUUACUUUGAUACAUUUAUAUAUUGCAACAUAACUGCCAGCCAUGGAGUGAUAUUUAUCACAUUACAUAAUUAUAGCAUAACAUUAUCUAUAUUCAUUAUACCAUGCAUUAGGUCAGUUUUAUUACUUCUUACAAAUUUGUACCGUUAAAUACCACCGCUCUUCUCUCUACCUCCCUCACCCCUGGUAACCACCAUUUUACUUUUUUUUUUUUUUUACAUCUUUAACUUUUUUAGAUUCCACAUAUAAGUGGUAUUCAUCUAGUACUCAUCUUUGACUUAUGUUGCUCAGCAUAAUGGGCUCAAGAUCCAUCCAUGUUGUUGCCAAUAUUGUUGCCAUCUUCCUUUCUCAUGUACAGUUUAACUUAUUUAACACGUCUCUUGUUUACAGGACCAAAUUUGUGUUGUGGCCUUAUUAAAUAUAAAGAUUCAUACA